ACGGAAGGCAGCAGUGAGGAAUAUUGGUCAAUGGGCGCGAGCCUGAACCAGCCAAGUAGCGUGAGGGAUGACUGCCCUACGGGUUGUAAACCUCUUUUGUUUGGGAAUAAAGGAGCCUACGUGUAGGCUUUUGCAUGUACCUUUCGAAUAAGCAUCGGCUAAUUCCGUGCCAGCAGCCGCGGUAAUACGGAAGAUGCGAGCGUUAUCCGGAUUUAUUGGGUUUAAAGGGAGCGUAGGCGGCCUUUUAAGUCUGCGGUCAAAUGUCAGGGCCCAACCUUGGCAUGCCGUGGAUACUGAUGGGCUUGAAUACACGCAAGGCAAGUGGAAUUCGUCGUGUAGCGGUGAAAUGCUUAGAUAUGACGAAGAACUCCGAUUGCGAAGGCAGCCUUCUGGGGUGUUACUGACGCUGAGGCUCGAAAGCGCGGGUAUCAAACAGGAUUAGAUACCCUGGUA
rnacentral:rRNA from 1 species